rnacentral:rRNA from 1 species
AUUGAACGCUGGCGGCAGGCCUAACACAUGCAAGUCGAGCGGGGUUUUCGGACCUAGCGGCGGACGGGUGAGUAAUGCGUAGGAAGCUACCCGACAGAGGGGGAUACCAGUUGGAAACGACUGUUAAUACCGCAUAAUGUCUACGGACCAAAGUGUGGGACCUUCGGGCCACAUGCUAUCGGAUGCGCCUACGUGGGAUUAGCUAGUUGGUGAGGUAAUGGCUCACCAAGGCGACGAUCCCUAGCUGGUUUGAGAGGAUGAUCAGCCACACUGGAACUGAGACACGGUCCAGACUCCUACGGGAGGCAGCAGUGGGGAAUAUUGGACAAUGGGCGCAAGCCUGAUCCAGCCAUGCCGCGUGCGUGAAGAAGGCCUUCGGGUUGUAAAGCACUUUCAGUAGGGAGGAAGCGUUGUGUGUUAAUAGUACACAGCGUUGACGUUACCUACAGAAGAAGCACCGGCUAACUCUGUGCCAGCCGCCGCGGUAAGAC